UACAGAGGGUGCAAGCGUUGUUCGGAAUUAUUGGGCGUAAAGGGCGCGUAGGCGGUGCGGUAAGUCCGCAGUGAAAUCUCUGGGCUCAACUCAGAGUCUGCUGUGGAAACUGCCGUGCUCGAGUGUGGGAGAGGUGAGUGGAAUUCCCGGUGUAGCGGUGAAAUGCAUAGAUAUCGGGAGGAACACCUGUGGCGAAAGCGGCUCACUGGACCACAACUGACGCUGAGGCGCGAAAGCUAGGGGAGCAAACAGG
rnacentral:rRNA from 1 species